UACGUAGGGUGCGAGCGUUAAUCGGAAUUACUGGGCGUAAAGCGUGCGCAGGCGGUUUUGCAAGCCGGAUGUGAAAUCCCCGGGCUCAACCUGGGAAUGGCAUUCGGGACUGCAAGGCUGGAGUGCGGCAGAGGAGACUGGAAUUCCUGGUGUAGCAGUGAAAUGCGUAGAUAUCAGGAGGAAUACCGAUGGCGAAGGCAGGUCUCUGGGCUGACACUGACGCUCAUGCACGAAAGCGUGGGGAGCAAACGGG
rnacentral:rRNA from 1 species